ACUGACAGUUUUCUUCAAACAGGGGUGGUGGCCAAGUGGUUAACGCUUCUUGGUUUCAGUGCAGAAGGUUCCGAGUUCAAAUCCCACCCCUACCACAUUUCUCCAUGUAAUGUGGAGUUGCGCCAGGAAAGGCAUCCGCGUAAAACCUGUGCCAAUUCAACAUGCAGAU